GGUCAAGCUACUAAGGGCGUAUGGUGGAUGCCUUGGUACUGAGAGGCGAUGAAGGACGUGGCCGGCUGCGAUAAGCCUCGGGGAGCCGCUAAACAGGCUUUGAUCCGGGGAUUUCCGAAUGGGGAAACCUACCUGGGGUCAUGCUCAGGUAUCCAUGCCUGAAUACAUAGGGUAUGGAGGCGAACGCAGGGAAUUGAAACAUCUAAGUACCUGCAGGAAGAGAAAUCAAGCGAGAUUCCCAAAGUAGUGGCGAGCGAAAUGGGAAGAGCCCAAACCAGUUGCGUGUAAGCCCGCAGGCGUUGCGUAUCUGGGGUUGUGGGUUCAGUCCGGAGAGUUCUGCGGAGCUCUCGGGGAGUUACAAAGUGUCUAUAUAGGAGAAUGUUCUGGAAAGAACAGCCAUAGCAGGUGACAGCCCUGUAUCCGAAAUGUAGGCGCCUCCCUGGGACUGUUCCCGAGUAGCGCGGGGCACGUGGAACCCUGCGUGAAUCUGGGAGGACCAUCUCCCAAGGCUAAAUACUACUCAGUAACCGAUAGUGAACAAGUACCGUGAGGGAAAGGUGAAAAGCACCCCGGAGAGGGGAGUGAAAUAGUAUCUGAAACCGUAUGCCUACAUUCUGUGGAAGCCCCAUGUCGUACCUUCGGGUAUGACGGGGUGACUGCGUGCCUUUUGCAUAAUGAGUCAGCGAGUUAUUCUAUGCAGCAAGGUUAAGCCGUCAGGUGUAGCCGUAGCGAAAGCGAGUCUUAACAGGGCGUAUAGUUGCAUGGAAUAGACCCGAAGCCAAGUGAUCUAUCCAUGGCCAGGGUGAAAUCUCGGUAAAACGAGAUGGAGGCCCGAACCGGUUAAGGUUGAAAACUUUUCGGAUGAGCUGUGGAUAGGGGUGAAAGGCCAAUCAAACUUGGAGAUAGCUGGUUCUCCCCGAAAUAUAUUUAGGUAUAGCCUCAGGCGAUGAAUACCGGGGGUAGGGCUCUGGAUGGGCUAGGGGUCCGCGAGGAUUACCAACCCCAACCAAACUUCGAAUACUGGAUAUUCUAGUCUGGGAGUCAGCCUAUGGGAGAUAAGUUCCAUAGACGAAAGGGAAAGAACCCAGACCGCCAGCUAAGGUCCCAAAUAGAUGCUAAGUGGUAAAGGCGGUGGAAUUGCACAAACAACCAGGAUGUUGGCUUAGAAGCAGCCACCAUUUAAAGAAAGCGUAAUAGCUCACUGGUCGAGUGGUUCUGCGCCGAAAAUUUAACGGGGCUCAAGCAUCUAACCGAAGCUGCGGAUCUAGGCGUUAGCCUAUGAUGGUAGGGGAGCGUACCAGUAGCCGGUGAAGCCGUACCGAAAGGAGCGGUGAAGGCCCUGGUAGUGCUUAUGCUGACAUGAGUAGCGAAAAUUCAGGUGAGAAUCCUGAACGCCGAAAACCCAAGGUUUCCUGCGCAAGGUUGAUCCGCGCAGGGUUAGUCGGACCCUAAGCUGAGGCCGAUAGGCGUAGGCGAUGGCAAACAGGUUAAUAUUCCUGUACCACUGAUAGAGCGUUAUCAGCAAUGGGGGGACGCAGGAGGGUAUGCCGUGCCGGGCGUUGGUUGUCCCGGUUCAAGCCCGUAGGGAGGAUUUCCAGGCAAAUCCGGAGAUCCGUUAAUCCUGAGAGGUGAUGACGAGUUCAAUUCUGAGCGAAGCGGCAAAUCCCACACUGACAAGAAAAGCCUCUAGCGAGUUCUAUUGGUGUCCGUACUGUAAACCGACUCAGGUGGGUGGGGUGAGAAUCCUAAGGCGUUGAGUGAAACCUCGUUAAGGAACUCGGCAACUUGACACCGUAACUUCGGGAGAAGGUGUGCCCCCUUUGGUAAGAGAAUUCUCUUCUUCAGCCGAGGGGGGUCGCAGAGAAAUGGCCGGGGCGACUGUUUACUAAAAACAUAGGACUCUGCUAAAUCGCAAGAUGAUGUAUAGGGUCUGAUGCCUGCCCGGUGCUGGAAGGUUAAGGGGAUGCGUUAGCCUGUAUGGGCGAAGCGUUGAACCGAAGCCCCAGUAAACGGCGGCCGUAACUAUAACGGUCCUAAGGUAGCGAAAUUCCUUGUCGGGUAAGUUCCGACCUGCACGAAUGGCAUAACGAUCUCGGCGGUGUCUCAACGAGGGGCUCAGUGAAAUUGCAGUGCCAGUGAAGAUACUGGCAACCCGCGGAAGGACGGAAAGACCCCGUGGACCUUUACUAUAACUUGACAGUGUAUCUUGGGUAGGUCUGUGUAGGAUAGGUGGGAGACUUUGAAGCCGGGACGCUAGUUUCGGUGGAGUCGACCUUGAAAUACCACCCUGAUCUGCUCGGGAUACUAACCUGCUCCCGUUAUCCGGGAGAGGGACACUGUCUGGUGGGUAGUUUGACUGGGGCGGUCGCCUCCCAAAAUGUAACGGAGGCGCGCAAUGGUUCCCUCAGGCUGAUUGGAAACCAGCCGUCGAGUGUAAAGGCAUAAGGGAGCCUGACUGCGAGAGGGACACCUCAAGCAGGUGCGAAAGCAGGUCUUAGUGAUCCGGUGGUUCCGAAUGGAAGGGCCAUCGCUCAACGGAUAAAAGGUACCCCGGGGAUAACAGGCUUAUCUCCCCCAAGAGUUCACAUCGACGGGGAGGUUUGGCACCUCGAUGUCGGCUCAUCGCAUCCUGGGGCUGGAGCAGGUCCCAAGGGUAUGGCUGUUCGCCAUUUAAAGCGGUACGCGAGCUGGGUUUAGAACGUCGUGAGACAGUUCGGUCCCUAUCCUCCGUGGGCGGAGGAGAUUUGAGAGAAGCUGUCCCUAGUACGAGAGGACCGGGAUGGACGAACCUCUGGUGCUCCUGUUGUCGUGCCAACGGCAUAGCAGGGUAGCUACGUUCGGAACGGAUAACCGCUGAAAGCAUCUAAGUGGGAAGCCGUUCUCAAGAUUAGAUCUCCCUUCCGCUUCGUGCGGACUGAAGGCCUCCUGAAGACUACAGGAUUGAUAGGCUGGGUGUGUAAGCGCAGCAAUGCGUUGAGCUAACCAGUACUAAUCGGCCGUGAGGCUUGACCCA
rnacentral:rRNA from 1 species